rnacentral:rRNA from 1 species
AUUGAACGCUGGCGGCAGGCUUAACACAUGCAAGUCGAACGGUAACAGGAAGCAGCUUGCUGCUUUGCUGACGAGUGGCGGACGGGUGAGUAAUGUCUGGGAAACUGCCUGAUGGAGGGGGAUAACUACUGGAAACGGUAGCUAAUACCGCAUAACGUCGCAAGACCAAAGAGGGGGACCUUCGGGCCUCUUGCCAUCGGAUGUGCCCAGAUGGGAUUAGCUAGUAGGUGGGGUAACGGCUCACCUAGGCGACGAUCCCUAGCUGGUCUGAGAGGAUGACCAGCCACACUGGAACUGAGACACGGUCCAGACUCCUACGGGAGGCAGCAGUGGGGAAUAUUGCACAAUGGGCGCAAGCCUGAUGCAGCCAUGCCGCGUGUAUGAAGAAGGCCUUCGGGUUGUAAAGUACUUUCAGCGGGGAGGAAGGGAGUAAAGUUAAUACCUUUGCUCAUUG